GUUGUGGGGAGCCAAUUGGACUCUUUUGGGGAUGGCUUAGGGGUUAGUCCGGUUUCGAAAGUCGGUUUGCGAAAUGGAUGUUUCGAAUAUGUUAUGAUGCACUUUGGUGCAGUAUAGACAUAUCGUGUAACGACCCGAACCGCUAGCAAUAAUAACUCGUUGGGCCCAACCACCGGCCCAAAAUGCUUAAGCCCAGUUAUUAUUCUAGUGUCUACGUUUCUUAUAUACCCAAUUACAUCCCCAUUCCUAUCCAAUGUGGGAUUAUUAGGUGUGACAGACUCCCCCCGUUAAGGCCAUCCCCAUUCCUAUCCAAUGUGGGAUUAUUGGGUGUGACAGACUUCCC
rnacentral:lncRNA from 1 species